ACGGGUGAGUAAUGUCUGGGAAACUGCCUGAUGGAGGGGGAUAACUGCUGGAAACGGUAGCUAAUACCGCAUAACGUCGCAAGACCAAAGAGGGGGACCUUCGGGCCUUUUGCCAUCGGAUGUGCCCAGAUGGGAUUAGCUAGUAGGUGGGGUAACGGCUCACCUAGGCGACGAUCCCUAGCUGGUCUGAGAGGAUGACCAGCCACACUGGAACUGAGACACGGUCCAG
rnacentral:rRNA from 1 species